rnacentral:tRNA from 1 species
AUUUAAAUAGCUUAAGAUAAAAGUAUAAUAUUGAAGAUAUUAAGAUAACAAUAUGUUUUUAAAUA